AAGGACUACUGGGGUUUCUAAUCCUGUUCGAUACCCACGCUUUCGUGCCUCAGCGUCAGUAGGGCGCCGGUAUGCUGCCUUCGCAAUCGGAGUUCUGCGUGAUAUCUAUGCAUUUCACCGCUACACCACGCAUUCCGCAUACUUCUCUCCCACUCUAGGCCCCCAGUUUCAACGGCUCGACGGCGUUGAGCGCCGCAUUUUUACCGCUGACUUAAAAGCCCGCCUACGCACCCUUUAAACCCAAUAAAUCCGGAUAACGCUCGCAUCCUCCGUAUUACCGCGGCUGCUGGCAC
rnacentral:misc_RNA from 1 species